rnacentral:rRNA from 1 species
AGGCUCCUUCGGGAGUACUCGAGCGGCGAAAGGGAGAGNUAACGCGUGGAUAUCUACCCCCUGGACUGGGAUAGCGGCGGGAAACUGCCGGUAAUACCGGAUAAAGUCUCCGGACCAAAGGUGUGACUCCGCCGGGGGAUGGGUCCGCGUCCUAUUAGCUUGUUGGUGGGGUAACGGCCUACCAAGGCAGGGAUGGGUACCGGGUGUGAGAGCAUGGCCCGGCUCACUGGGACUGAGACACUGCCCAGACACCUACGGGUGGCUGCAGUCGAGAAUCUUCGGCAAUGGGCGCAAGCCUGACCGAGCGACGCCGCGUGCGGGAUGAAGGCCUUCGGGUUGUAAACCGCUGUCAGAGGGGAGGAAAUGCAUGGGGGUACUCCCUCAUGUUUGACCUAUCCUCAGAGGAAGUACGGGCUAAGUUCGUGCCAGCAGCCGCGGUAAUACGAACCGUACGAACGUUAUUCGGAAUCACUGGGCUUAAAGAGUGCGUAGGCGGCCUGGCAAGUUGGGUGUGAAAUCCCUCGGCUCAACCGAGGAACUGCGCUCAAAACUGCUAGGCUUGAGAGAGAUAGAGGUGAGCGGAACUAAUGGUGGAGCGGUGAAAUGCGUUGAUAUCAUUAGGAACACCAGUGGCGAAAGCGGCUCACUGGGUCUCAUCUGACGCUGAGGCACGAAAGCUAG